rnacentral:lncRNA from 1 species
GUUGCUCAAGUUGAGGAGAAGGCAAUUGUUGUGCAGCCUCCACUUGUAGCUGAAACCAGUGAGGCUGCUGCUGUAAUCCCCAAGGCCAAGGAAGGCCCGAACCGGUGCGCAACCUGUAGGAAGCGGGUUGGCCUGACGGGAUUCAACUGCCGAUGCGGUAACAUGUACUGUGCGGUGCACCGUUACUCCGACAAACAUGAAUGCCACUUUGACUAUCGGACUGCAGCUAGGGAUGCGAUUGCCAAGGCCAAUCCUGUGGUGAAGGCGGAGAAGCUCGACAAGAUCUGAGAGGGGCAAUGGGGAGGGGGAUGGGUUGUGAUCUGCAAGAUUCAAUCAUGCAUCUUUGCUGCUUUAUCAUUGAACUUCCCAUUCUUGUUUGCUGCCACAUCCCUGAGUUGUUCAACACUGAGAUGCACAUGCAUCCUGGCAGCUGCAAGAAUUCAUCCCCAGUUAGAGUCCACAAUGGUUUGCGUGUUGGCUAUGUUGUGUAAGCUUAUUCAGUUAUUCAUGGUGGUUUCGGUCGGUAUUGUGGCAUUCCCAUUUACGUAGCUCUGUAAUGUACCACUGUCUCGUGCGUGUUACAUCCCAAUCAGUAAUAGUAAUCAGCAAUGGUCUGCCAUAGUUCCUCGCAAUUUUCUGGAUUGUUGUGGAUGGACACUACCGUUUUAAAAGCAUGUGGUAGUCGAGAGAGCUGUGAUUUGUAACAGGAUGGGUCUUGAUUGUUGGGUAUGCUGAUUCUGUAUUACAACAUAGUCUAUGCAAACGCGUACUUGGUGAAUGGUAUUAAUUCAUCAUCAUCUUUUUUGA